GCCACGAAGCUGUCCGAGGGGUCCUCCUUGGGCGGCUCCAGGAGGCGCGGGAACGGCGGCGCGGCGCUAGCCUCGAACGCGCCCUCGCCGCCGACCGUCUCGCCCUCCUCCGCUAUUUUCGGUACUUUGGCCUCCCGCGGUACAAAGUGCGAUCUCAAACUUUCCCAGCACCGAAGUCUAUAUUUGGAGUGAGAGACAAAUAAACGUAAGGUUCUUA